ACCGAAUAUAGAAAGUCUUAAUUCUAUUUUGCCUUUCACAACUGAGUUCUGGAGCCGUUCCAGUUCCUUCUUAGAGAAGGGUAUUUCAGCCAAACAAAUGAACAGAAGCCGCUUUCUAAGGGAGAUUUGUCCUAGCACUUUGGGCCAGCUGAAGAAUUCUAUCCUUCUCCAAUUACCCCAGAGAAAGGAACUCUUUAAAGAAAUCCAGUCCGUGGCUGGGCAAUGUUUCGGAAACCCUGGGCAGGCUGCAAAUACCUACCAAGAAUGGGCUUUUUCAGCUCCUGAGUUAAAUUUGUUCCCUCCACCCUCGUUCCCCCCAAAAUGUAGUUUAUGGGGAGAUAGGGAACAAGUCGUCCAUACAAGAGAGGGAGAGAGGAAAUAUCAUAUGCUACAGAGAGUUGCUCUACUCAAGAACUGGCUGACCUUGAGAAGCCGUAAUAAGACCCUGAAAGUCCUUUCAUUGGCAGCUGUGGUGAAAUUAUUCAGAAUGUGGACCCCAUGAUAAGAUUGCAAAAUGUGUUCCUUGGAACUUAGUUUCCAACCAGCCAUCAUGUAUUGACUUGACUUUCCAAACCAUUUUCAAAGCCAAGACUAGAUCUUCUUCUUAGCAUGGAGGACCUCUUGAUGACUAGGUUAUCCAUUCAGUUGUGUCCGACUCUUGGCGAUUCUACGAGCCAGGUAGAAGACAUCUUGGAUCCAAAUAAAACCAGAGCGCCUCUAUUCACCCCAGCCCAAAUUAUAUGGAAAAGGUCACAUUCAAAGUGACGUGUGGUGGGAUGCCCAGGAAAAGCCAAAAUGGAAACUUCUGUGGAGGAGAGAGGAGAGAGAGAAGGCUUAAGGAGAGCUGAGCUGGCCCAGUUCAUCCAACUGCUUUAAUGGCUUUCUUGUAAAGUAUAUUCUGAAUCUCA